rnacentral:rRNA from 1 species
CGGGUGAGUAAUACAUCGGAACGUGUCUUCUAGUGGGGGAUAACUGCCCGAAAGGGCAGCUAAUACCGCAUGAGACCUGAGGGUGAAAGCGGGGGAUCGCAAGACCUCGCGCUGGAAGAGCGGCCGAUGUCCGAUUAGCUAGUUGGUGAGGUAAAAGGCUCACCAAGGCGACGAUCGGUAGCUGGUCUGAGAGGACGACCAGCCACACUGGGACUGAGACACGGCCCAG